GACGAACGCUGGCGGCGUGCUUAACACAUGCAAGUCGAACGGAAAGGCCCUGCUUUUGUGGGGUGCUCGAGUGGCGAACGGGUGAGUAACACGUGAGUAACCUGCCCUUGACUUUGGGAUAACUUCAGGAAACUGGGGCUAAUACCGGAUAGGAGCUCCUGCUGCAUGGUGGGGGUUGGAAAGUUUCGGCGGUUGGGGAUGGACUCGCGGCUUAUCAGCUUGUUGGUGGGGUAGUGGCUUACCAAGGCUUUGACGGGUAGCCGGCCUGGGAGGGUGACCGGCCACAUUGGGACUGAGGUACGGCCCAGAGUCCUACGGGAGGCAGCAGUGGGGAAUAUUGCACAAUGGGCGGAAGCCUGAUGCAGCAACGCCGCGUGCGGGAUGACGGCCUUCGGGUUGUAAACCGCUUUCGCCUGUGACGAAGCGUGAGUGACGGUAAUGGGUAAAGAAGCACCGGCUAACUACGUG
rnacentral:rRNA from 1 species